GUGCCCUUGGUGUAACGGUAACAUAUCAUCACUUUCAGUUGAACAACCGAGGGGUCCCGGGUUCGACUCCCGGAGGGCGCC